UGGGGAAUAUUGGACAAUGGGCGCAAGCCUGAUCCAGCCAUGCCGCGUGAGUGAUGAAGGCCUUAGGGUUGUAAAGCUCUUUCGGCGGGGACGAUAAUGACGGUACCCGCAGAAGAAGCCCCGGCUAACUUCGUGCCAGCAGCCGCGGUAAUACGAAGGGGGCUAGCGUUGUUCGGAAUCACUGGGCGUAAAGCGCACGCAGGCGGGUCGUUAAGUCAGGGGUGAAAUCCCGAGGCUCAACCUCGGAACUGCCUUUGAUACUGGCGACCUUGGAGUCCGGGAGAGGUGAGUGGAACUCCGAGUGUAGAGGUGAAAUUCGUAGAUAUUCGGAAGAACACCAGUGGCGAAGGCGGCUCACUGGCCCGGUACUGACGCUCAUGUGCGAAAGCGUGGGGAGCAAACAGG
rnacentral:rRNA from 1 species